rnacentral:rRNA from 1 species
CGGGGUUCAACCCCGGCCGGUUCCCGAACUGGCGCUUCGAGUACGGUAGGGGAUACCGGAAUUCCAAGUGUAACGGUGAAAUGCGCAGAUAUUUGGAAGAACACCGAUGGCGAAGGCAGCUCUCUGGGCCGUCACUGACGCUGAGGCGCGAAAGCCGGGGGAGCGAACAGGAUUAGAUACCCUGGUAGUCCCGGGCCGUAAACGAUGGGCGCUAGGUGUGGGGGGACAUUCCCUCCGUGCCGCAGCCAACGCAUUAAGCGCCCCGCCUGGGGAGUACGGCGGCAACGCUUAAACUCAAAGGAAUUGACGGGGGCCCGCACAAGCAGCGGAGCAUGUGGCUUAAUUCGAAGCAACGCGAAGAACCUUACCAGGGCUUGACAUCCGGGUGAAGCGGCGGAGACGCCGUGGCCGAGAGGAGCCCGGACAGGUGGUGCAUGGCUGUCGUCAGCUCGUGCCGUGAGGUGUUGGGUUAAGUCCCGCAACGAGCGCAACCCCCGUCGCGUGUUGCCAGCAACUCGGUUGGGCACUCGCGCGAGACUGCCGGCGUCAAGCCGGAGGAAGGUGGGGACGACGUCAAGUCAUCAUGCCCCUUAUGCCCUGGGCUGCACACGUGCUACAAUGGCCGGCACAACGGGUUGCGACCCCGCGAGGGGGAGCGGAUCCCUCAAAGCCGGCCCCAGUUCGGACCGCAGGCUGCAACCCGCCUGCGCGAAGCCGGAGUUGCUAGUAAUCGCGGAUCAGCACGCCGCGGUGAAUACGUUCCCGGGCCUUGUACACACCGCCCGUCACACCACCCGAGUCGUCUGCACCCGAAGCCGCCGGCCGAACCCGAAAGGGGCGGAGGCGUCGAAGGUGUGGAGGGUGAGGGGGGUGAAGUCGUAACAAGGUAGCCGUACCGGAAGGUGCGGCUG